rnacentral:rRNA from 1 species
AUUGAACGCUGGCGGCAGGCCUAACACAUGCCAGUCGAGCGGAUGAAGGGAGCUUGCUCCUGGAUUCAGCGGCGGACGGGUGAGUAAUGCCUAGGAAUCUGCCUGGUAGUGGGGGAUAACGUCCGGAAACGGGCGCUAAUACCGCAUACGUCCUGAGGGAGAAAGUGGGGGAUCUUCGGACCUCACGCUAUCAGAUGAGCCUAGGUCGGAUUAGCUAGUUGGUGGGGUAAAGGCCUACCAAGGCGACGAUCCGUAACUGGUCUGAGAGGAUGAUCAGUCACACUGGAGCUGAGACACGGUCCAGACUCCUACGGGAGGCAGCAGUAGGGAAUAUUGCGCAAUGGGCGAAAGCCUGAUCCAGCCAUGCCGCGUGUGUGAAGAAGGUCUUCGGAUUGUAAAACACUUUUAGUUGGGAAGAAGGGAAGUAAGUUAAUACCUUGCUGUUUUGACGUUACCAACAGAAUAAGCACCGGCUAACUUCGUG